rnacentral:rRNA from 1 species
GCCUAGCCGUAAUAUACAAUUAAACCACUAAUUGUCCGCCAAACAACUACGAGUAAUACUUAAAACUUAAAAGACUUGACGGUGCUUCACCACGCCCUAGAGGAGCCUGUCUAGUAACCGAUAAUCCACGAUUAACCCAGCCCCCUCUGGCCUAACAGUCUAUAUACCGCCGUCGCCAGCUUACCUUGUAAAAGAAAUAAAGUGAGCUAAAUAGCCCCACACUUAAACGACAGGUCGAGGUGUAACUAAUGGGGGGGACUUAGAUGGGCUACAUUCUCUUGUCCGAGAAUACGAACAACACUAUGAAAUAAGUGUUUAAAGGCGGAUUUAGCAGUAAGAUAAGAAUAAAACACUUAACUGAACAUAACGCAAUGAAGUGCGUACACACCGCCCGUCACCCCUGCCACCACAACACAUCUUUAAUAAACAACCAAAAAACACAAACCAGGGCAAGUCGUAACAUGGUAAGUGUACUGGAAAGUGCACUU